GAUGAACGCUAGCUACAGGCUUAACACAUGCAAGUCGAGGGGCAGCAUGAACUUAGCUUGCUAAGUUUGAUGGCGACCGGCGCACGGGUGAGUAACACGUAUCCAACCUGCCGAUGACUCGGGGAUAGCCUUUCGAAAGAAAGAUUAAUACCCGAUGGCAUAGUUCUUCCGCAUGGUAGAACUAUUAAAGGUAUUCCGGUAGACGAUGGGGAUGCGUUCCAUUAGAUAGUAGGCGGGGUAACGGCCCACCUAGUCUUCGAUGGAUAGGGGUUCUGAGAGGAAGGUCCCCCCACAUUGGAACUGAGACACGGUCCAAACUCCUACGGGAGGCAGCAGUGAGGAAUAUUGGUCAAUGGGCGAGAGCCUGAACCAGCCAAGUAGCGUGAAGGAUGACUGCCCUAUGGGUUGUAAACUUCUUUUAUAAAGGAUAAAGUCGGGUAUGUAUACCUGUUUGCAUGUACUUUAUGAAUAAGGAUCGGCUAACUCCGUGCCAGCAGCCGCGGU
rnacentral:rRNA from 1 species